GUAAAAAAUGGAUCAUAUCAGUAAAUUCAACAAGAAAAAUAAAAAUGGAUAAUAUCAGUAAAUUCAACAGGAGAAAUAAAAUAUUUUACGUCUCCAUAGUAACAGAAUAUCUGUUUUCAUAGCAUCUAUAUUUUAGGUUAUAUGAAGCACCAGAAAAGAAAAGGGGAAAAAUAAUUUUCUACAUCGCAAUUCAGGAGCCUUCUCCAUAAAGACUUAAUAGUUAAUACUAGUCCAGAAACCAAAGUGAACAAUACAAAAUUCUCAGCAAUUUAUUUAUCCAAAAGGUUACUAUUUCCCAAAAUUUUCCCCAUUCCAAAUUGUCCACAAAACAGUCAAAGUAAUGGCAUCCCCAACCUUAGUACCUAACCCUAUAAAAAGAGACACUCCAAACACUAAACACCCAGUUUCAUCUCCACACCAUUCACACAUAGACCCAAAUAAUU
rnacentral:misc_RNA from 1 species